UAGUAGCUCAGUCGGUUAGAGCGCUUGACUGUUAAUCAAGAUGUCACAGGUUCGAGUCCUGUCUGG
rnacentral:tRNA from 1 species